UACGUAGGGGGCCAGCGUUGCUCGGAAUUACUGGGCGUAAAGGGUCCGUAGGCGGUGCGGCAAGUCGAGAGUGAAAUCCCUAGGCUUAACCUAGGGGCUGCUAGCGAAACUGCCGUGCUAGAGUGUGAGAGAGGCGAGUGGAAUUACGGGUGUAGCGGUGAAAUGCGUAGAUAUCCGUAGGAACAUCCGAGGCGAAGGCGGCUCGCUGGAUCACAACUGACGCUGAGGGACGAAAGCUAGGGGAGCAAACAGG
rnacentral:rRNA from 1 species